CGGGCUGAACCAUGUCUGACUCCUGAAGAAAAAAGGAACAAGGGAGGGGAAGACGAGGAGCGAAGAGAAACAGUAGGGCAGAAAAAAACUACCUUAAAACUGCCUCGAAAGAGGCACAAAAACAGGGAGAAUGAGAAACAGGAGUCACAGAAGAUGUUGUAGAGAUUCAAGAAGGGGGACGGGAGACCAUUCAAAAGCUCUUCUCUCCCCUGUUGUGGCUCAGAACUGAAAACAGGAUUACCUCAUGCUUCUUAUCACAGAAACACAUGCUGCCUCUGAUCGGGAUUUUCAACGUUGAGUCUGUGGGAAUACCCAUUUAAUCUGGGUUUACAGCACUGUCCAAAGGAAGACCUGCCAAACAAGCAGGUUGGGUUCACACGGACCGGGAUAUUCGCAUGGGCUGGGAUCUGUUCUCCGUCAUCAUCUCCAUCAGACUAGACUGGCAGCUACGUGGACACUGGGAUUUGUGAGCGGGUCUCUGCUGUGCACACCCUUUGGACCGGCACUGUGCCGUCUGCUAUGUUGAUGACACACUGCUGCUUCCUCGAACCCUACGGGUUGGGCUGGAUCAGAAUGGGAGGUUAAAAGGGCAAAUAGCAUCAUGGGAGCCAAACAAAUGAAAUGUCUCAGUUCAUCCAGUCCAGCACACACACCCAAGGAGGAGUAUAUUAUUGCCAAAUCUGAAGAUUCAGGAGAGCUAGUGGGAAACCACACGGAGCAACCACAAAGCCUAGAGGAUGUAGUGAAAUCCUCAGCCACCGAGCCGUUUCCUGGCCCAGAGCAUCCUGGGAAAGAGGAAAGCAGCACAUGGGAGGAACAGCUAUGUGCCCAGCAGGAACAGCUGGAGAAGGAGAUGCAGGAGACCAGGAAAAUGGUGACAAGGCUUCAGGCCUUACUGCUGCAUGGGUCUCUACCUGAGGACGAGCAGACAUCUACUCUGAGUUUUGGAGACAGUACCAGCUCAGAGCAACAGCUGAUUUUAAUCCGCAGUCGUCUGGACCAGAGUAUGGAGGAGUCCUUAGAUCUGAAGAGAGAACUUUUAAGAUACAAGCAGGAGUCACGUAAUCUGCAGGCUAUUAAGGAUGCCUUGCAGCAGAGAAUGUCUGUGCAGGAAGACUCAGUGCUGCAGCUCAAACAGGAGCUGCUCAGAUCCAGCAUGGACAGAGAGGAGCUGGAGGGACAGAAUGUGGAACUAGAAAGGAAGCUGAGCGAACGAAACAGAUUGCUGACUGAAUACAAAAAAGAACUCGGGCAGAAAGACAGACUUCUUCAGCAGCAGCAGUCAAAACUGGAUGAUGCACUGCGCAGGAUAAGCGAAAGCUAUCAUAGGUUGUCAGGCUGUGAGAAUAAUGGCUACAGUCACAUGAUGGACACAUCCUCCGCUGUUUUCCAACACAGAAUAGUUUUGGCUGGAUGUGUGUGUCAGGGGGACGAGCUACAGCUUGUGCGAGAUGCUCUGCGCAGUCUGAGGGACAGUUUCAGCGGUCAUGACCCGCAGCACCACACACUGGACACACUGGAGCAGGGUGUAGCCAGUCUGGUGGACCGCCUCCACACCACAGAGAACAAGAAAAGGCAGGAGAGAAAGGGUUCAACCAGGUCUCCUGGACGAAAAGCCAAUCACACAGACCGAGAAUCAUGGCCGUCAAGCUCAAAGAUAGCUCAUUCUCACAGUAGCCCUGUUCUCAGUGUGGCAGCCUCAACCAAAGUACUCUACUACACAGAUCGCUCUCUCACACCCUUCCUAGUCAACAUCCCUAAGAGGCUGGGGGAGGUUACGCUACAGGAUUUCAAGGCGGCUGUGGAUAGACAUGGCAGUUUCAGAUAUCACUUCAAAUCUCUGGAUCCAGAGUUUGGAACGGUGAAGGAAGAGGUAAAAUCACAACCAAUCAGGAGUAAUUUAAUACUCCAGCAUAUCAGUAGCCAUGGGCGUCGCUAGGCCAUUUUUAGGGGGGCUUUAGCACCCCUAAAUUUCUGCUCAGCCCCCCUAAAAAUCUUGCGAUUCUUCCCCUUUAAAUUUCAAAUGAAAACGGCAGCAGACUUCGGCUCCUCCCCAUCUUUCUGCGCGUUCUUCAAUCCACAGACUGCGGUGAGGCAGAGGAGAGGACAAGGUGUGUGUUUAUCAGUGUUGGGCACGUACUUUAAAAAAGUAAUUAGUUAUAGUUACUAGUUACUUCUCACAAAUAGUAACUGAGUUAGUAACUGAGUUACAUCAUUAUAAAAGUAACUAAUUACCAGGGAAAGUAACUAUUGCGUUACUUUAAAAAAAAAAAAAAGAAAAGUUCAAAUAUGUCAAAUAACUUGGGUGCCCCCGAUAUUAAAUGAAUGAAAUGGACACUAAAUAGAAUAAAUUAUUGUUAUAAAACAUUGUACACUAAUCUAUUUUAAUAUUUCUGUGGGACAGUGUGAGAGACACCUAUCAAUUUCAAUAUAUUAUUGUAAAUAUUAUCAAGUAAAUAUAUAUAUAUAUAAAGCUUAUGUUUGUAAAAUGGUACAGUUUUUUUUUUUUUUUUUAAUAUCUGACACUUAGCAUCAGUCAGUUAAGCAUUAUAAUAUGAUAUUAUGAUAAUUUAGCAUUAUAUGAUGAUAGAACUUUAGUAAUUAGAAUGAAAUUAUUAGAUAAAAGCUGAAGAAUUCAAAAAGGAACUCCGUUAUUUUGACAGGAAAAUACAACAAAGAAUAUCGUUUACAUGUAGCGGGUCAAUUCUGCAUGUUAUGAAAGAUGUUAUGAAAUCUCGCUCUGUAUCUUUCUUUGCGCGUGUGAGAAAACGACGGCGAGCCGUGCGCCUACUAGAGUUUACGGUGUUCCAAGACGAUGCUGUUAUUCCUGGAUGGGAAGGGAAGAUCGUUGCAUGGGUGGAGGAGGAUCAUGGAGAGGGGAGAUAGAGCAUGAGGGUUUCAAUCCAUUCAGAAUGUAUGUUUUACCCUACAUAUACCUCAUCCCUGCAAUACUCUGAAGCCUUUGUCCUGUCCUAACUGUGAAUUUCACUGAACCAGUUCACUAUGUCAUUACAGCAGGCACGUGUUUGUAAAAUAGUAUAUAUGCAUUUAAGAAUGAAAGAAGAAUGUUUUUUUAAGGUUAUUAAAAAGGUUUACAGCUAAAUACAGAUUGUUUAUUGAGUGUAUUGAGGUUACAUUUUGUUUUGCAAAAACUAGUAUAUCAGCAAUGCCAUUGUGAUAAGUGACCAAGAAAAGAUUAUUUAAAACUGUAUGUGUCUUGUGCAGUGACAAAUAAUAAAUAUGUUGCAUUAGUUGCCAAACUGUGACAAGCAUAUCACACAUUGUGUGCAUGUAUUGUCCUGCCAGAAAAAAUGCCAUUUUAAGAAAACAUAUCAUCAAAAAUGUCCACACAUUCACAGUAAUAUAUUUUUCACUAAAAUGUAUGUCAACCUUUCUUGACUAUCCUUUGAAAAUAAGGGGUGGUAAAAGCAGGGACCACUUUGUUUGUAAAAAUUUGUAACAUUUGAACAUAUUGAAAUAUUCCUUUUGAAAAUGAUUGUACUUUUCCUAUCAAAUUUGCAUGUCUGUUCAUAUUGUUUGGUAUCUGUGUUGUGAAUGCAAAUGCAGUUGACACUUGCCCACCUUUUAUUAAAGGCUUUCAGUGCACAGAUGGAGGCGUU